UUUAGAAUAAUUAAGUUCAAUAAAUAAGAUAACCAAAUUGCCUAUGUCUACGAAGAUAUUUUUUAAUAAUAUACCUAUGUAUAUAUUUCAACUCAGUGUUAUAAAAACCGAAGCAUAUAUGUUUAGUUUGUAUCGUGAAAACUAUGCGAUUUCGAUGAUUAAAACACCACAGUGUCAAGCUAUUUGGCGCCUGGGGACAAAUAUUUACAAACAUCCUAUUCCUCACCACAUCCAUUUGGCUCAGUUGUUCUGAACAUUUCGGUGGUAUUGCCGUGGACGCCGUUGAAUUCAUCAACAUUGACCGAACUUCCCUUGGUGUUGUACCAGAAUGGAUGUCAUACGGUCUGCA